UUAAGCGACUAAGCGUACACGGUGGAUGCCCUGGCAGUCAGAGGCGAUGAAGGACGUGCUAAUCUGCGAUAAGCGUCGGUAAGGUGAUAUGAACCGUUAUAACCGGCGAUUUCCGAAUGGGGAAACCCAGUGUGAUUCGUCACACUAUCAUUAACUGAAUCCAUAGGUUAAUGAGGCGAACCGGGGGAACUGAAACAUCUAAGUACCCCGAGGAAAAGAAAUCAACCGAGAUUCCCCCAGUAGCGGCGAGCGAACGGGGAGCAGCCCAGAGCCUGAAUCAGUGUGUGUGUUAGUGGAAGCGUCUGGAAAGGCGCGCGAUACAGGGUGACAGCCCCGUACACAAAAAUGCACAUGCUGUGAGCUCGAUGAGUAGGGCGGGACACGUGGUAUCCUGUCUGAAUAUGGGGGGACCAUCCUCCAAGGCUAAAUACUCCUGACUGACCGAUAGUGAACCAGUACCGUGAGGGAAAGGCGAAAAGAACCCCGGCGAGGGGAGUGAAAAAGAACCUGAAACCGUGUACGUACAAGCAGUGGGAGCACGCUUAGGCGUGUGACUGCGUACCUUUUGUAUAAUGGGUCAGCGACUUAUAUUCUGUAGCAAGGUUAACCGAAUAGGGGAGCCGAAGGGAAACCGAGUCUUAACUGGGCGUUAAGUUGCAGGGUAUAGACCCGAAACCCGGUGAUCUAGCCAUGGGCAGGUUGAAGGUUGGGUAACACUAACUGGAGGACCGAACCGACUAAUGUUGAAAAAUUAGCGGAUGACUUGUGGCUGGGGGUGAAAGGCCAAUCAAACCGGGAGAUAGCUGGUUCUCCCCGAAAGCUAUUUAGGUAGCGCCUCGUGAAUUCAUCUCCGGGGGUAGAGCACUGUUUCGGCAAGGGGGUCAUCCCGACUUACCAACCCGAUGCAAACUGCGAAUACCGGAGAAUGUUAUCACGGGAGACACACGGCGGGUGCUAACGUCCGUCGUGAAGAGGGAAACAACCCAGACCGCCAGCUAAGGUCCCAAAGUCAUGGUUAAGUGGGAAACGAUGUGGGAAGGCCCAGACAGCCAGGAUGUUGGCUUAGAAGCAGCCAUCAUUUAAAGAAAGCGUAAUAGCUCACUGGUCGAGUCGGCCUGCGCGGAAGAUGUAACGGGGCUAAACCAUGCACCGAAGCUGCGGCAGCGACGCUGAUGCGUUGUUGGGUAGGGGAGCGUUCUGUAAGCCUGCGAAGGUGUGCUGUGAGGCAUGCUGGAGGUAUCAGAAGUGCGAAUGCUGACAUAAGUAACGAUAAAGCGGGUGAAAAGCCCGCUCGCCGGAAGACCAAGGGUUCCUGUCCAACGUUAAUCGGGGCAGGGUGAGUCGACCCCUAAGGCGAGGCCGAAAGGCGUAGUCGAUGGGAAACAGGUUAAUAUUCCUGUACUUGGUGUUACUGCGAAGGGGGGACGGAGAAGGCUAUGUUGGCCGGGCGACGGUUGUCCCGGUUUAAGCGUGUAGGCUGGUUUUCCAGGCAAAUCCGGAAAAUCAAGGCUGAGGCGUGAUGACGAGGCACUACGGUGCUGAAGCAACAAAUGCCCUGCUUCCAGGAAAAGCCUCUAAGCAUCAGGUAACAUCAAAUCGUACCCCAAACCGACACAGGUGGUCAGGUAGAGAAUACCAAGGCGCUUGAGAGAACUCGGGUGAAGGAACUAGGCAAAAUGGUGCCGUAACUUCGGGAGAAGGCACGCUGAUAUGUAGGUGAAGUCCCUUGCGGAUGGAGCUGAAAUCAGUCGAAGAUACCAGCUGGCUGCAACUGUUUAUUAAAAACACAGCACUGUGCAAACACGAAAGUGGACGUAUACGGUGUGACGCCUGCCCGGUGCCGGAAGGUUAAUUGAUGGGGUCAGCGCAAGCGAAGCUCUUGAUCGAAGCCCCGGUAAACGGCGGCCGUAACUAUAACGGUCCUAAGGUAGCGAAAUUCCUUGUCGGGUAAGUUCCGACCUGCACGAAUGGCGUAAUGAUGGCCAGGCUGUCUCCACCCGAGACUCAGUGAAAUUGAACUCGCUGUGAAGAUGCAGUGUACCCGCGGCAAGACGGAAAGACCCCGUGAACCUUUACUAUAGCUUGACACUGAACAUUGAGCCUUGAUGUGUAGGAUAGGUGGGAGGCUUUGAAGUGUGGACGCCAGUCUGCAUGGAGCCGACCUUGAAAUACCACCCUUUAAUGUUUGAUGUUCUAACGUUGACCCGUAAUCCGGGUUGCGGACAGUGUCUGGUGGGUAGUUUGACUGGGGCGGUCUCCUCCUAAAGAGUAACGGAGGAGCACGAAGGUUGGCUAAUCCUGGUCGGACAUCAGGAGGUUAGUGCAAUGGCAUAAGCCAGCUUGACUGCGAGCGUGACGGCGCGAGCAGGUGCGAAAGCAGGUCAUAGUGAUCCGGUGGUUCUGAAUGGAAGGGCCAUCGCUCAACGGAUAAAAGGUACUCCGGGGAUAACAGGCUGAUACCGCCCAAGAGUUCAUAUCGACGGCGGUGUUUGGCACCUCGAUGUCGGCUCAUCACAUCCUGGGGCUGAAGUAGGUCCCAAGGGUAUGGCUGUUCGCCAUUUAAAGUGGUACGCGAGCUGGGUUUAGAACGUCGUGAGACAGUUCGGUCCCUAUCUGCCGUGGGCGCUGGAGAACUGAGGGGGGCUGCUCCUAGUACGAGAGGACCGGAGUGGACGCAUCACUGGUGUUCGGGUUGUCAUGCCAAUGGCACUGCCCGGUAGCUAAAUGCGGAAGAGAUAAGUGCUGAAAGCAUCUAAGCACGAAACUUGCCCCGAGAUGAGUUCUCCCUGACUCCUUGAGAGUCCUGAAGGAACGUUGAAGACGACGACGUUGAUAGGCCGGGUGUGUAAGCGCAGCGAUGCGUUGAGCUAACCGGUACUAAUGAACCGUGAGGCUUAACCUU
rnacentral:rRNA from 1 species